AUGUGGGGCCCUGGCCCCAUGGCGUCUGUCGGGUAUCGCGGGGCCGUGCAGCAGCGUCUGUCGGCCCGCGGCGUCUGUCGGGUAUCGCGGGGCUGUGCAGCGGCGUCUGUCGGCCCGUGGCGUGAAGCGUCCAUCCGUGGCUCUGCCCGCACAUUUCUCAGCCGUGCCCCUGAAGAACGGAAGAGCUGUGUCUUGGGGAAGGCCACCUUGUACACGUCCCUUCUGUGGCCAUGGUCCCUGGCACGCGAGGUCACUGAGCGCCCAGGAUGGCAGGGGCACUGUGACGUCUUCAGGAAGUGCUGCCGCUCCAGCCUCUGCAGCCGUCUCGGACCACGGGUGCGCGGCGUGGCUGUCGCCGCACCACACCGAGCGGGCCGGGGCUGUCCAGGCUGCCUGUCCCGCGGGCCCCCAGCCGUGCGCAGGCCUGCAGGCAGCGGCGUCCUGGGACCAGCCCGUGCGGCUCUGGGAACUCUGGAACAUUUCCACAGGGUCUCACGGAGCAGCAGGGCCCCACCCUCCGCCCCGCUCCGCUGUCGCGCCUCUCGGCCCUGUCGCUUGCUUCACCCGACGACAGACGCAGGGCUGGUUUCCGAGCGAACGGCCUCAGCUGCUCCUCUGCCCAGCGCCCACCCAGCGGCCGCCGGUGCCUGCGCGGGUCUGCGUGGCCCUCCUCGUCGAGAGGCUCCCAGCACAAGCCUACACAAGCCGUCGCUCCUCUCACGCGUCUAACUUCACCCAGCCGGUGCCAGCAGUCGGCCCAACGCCACGGCGGCACUUCAGAAGCCACGAUGGCCGCCGCGUCCCGCCAGGCAUCCGGGGCUCCACGGACUCCCACAGGGCAGCCUGACGGCCCCUCUCCUGAGCGCAGCGCCUCCGCCUGACGGAGCCGUCUGAAACGUGCCACUCGCAGGCUGCAGUCAGCGGAGGCGAGGACUGCCCGGGCCCGCGCACGGUGUCGGCACAGCGGCCGUGCACCCGCAGAGCGCUAGCGUCUCACACCUUGUCUGUCUUCCUGACCAGGUGGAACCGGACUGAGAGGAAGCACCACGCCCUGGGGCAGGGCCCGGGGCCGGGGCUCUGCCAGGCUCCACACACCCACCCACGCUCCAGUGCAGCCCUGGGCCUGCGUAGGGGGCUGUGCCUCCAGCCACUUCCAGGGCCCCCCCCCAGACCUGGUCUCAGGAGCUCAGAGGCGGAGCUGAAGGCCACAGAUGCCCUCGGGCUCCACGGUGCUUCUGGGACAGGCGGCUCGUGGGGCUCACGUGGCAAAAGCAGGAUGUGGAGAAGCUGCUGAGCCCCGGCCAGGGCCCCAGGAGACCGCACCGUGGUCCCAUGGGUGGGGGGGGAGGCAGAGCUCCCAGCCUGGGGACGAUGCCCCCACAGCCCUGUGCUGGGAGCUAAGUGGGUAAGUGGGAGCUCGGGGUUGAAGCCCGACCCAGGGUCCCCCAGACUGGAGCCGGGGCGACAGCACAGCGGCGUGAGACCACAGACACGACAGCAGCAGGCCUCAGGAGCUCACGCCGGGGAGAUCCUGCAGCCCUUCCUGGGGCGGCACGCACGGCUCGGCGCCGCUGGUUAAGGUGUGAGGACGGCCCAGGGGACGCCCCACAGAGGCCUGAGCCCCCGACAGAACACACGGGCACCUGGGGCACGAGGGGAGAGGCCUGAGCCCCCGACAGAACACACGGGCACCCAGAUGUGUGGGGAGAGGCCUGAGCCCCCGACAGAA
rnacentral:lncRNA from 1 species